UCAAAAUUAAAGUCACCCUAUAAAUAUUGAAAAUGAAAGCCAACUACUUACUUACUUAACAAACAUGCAACACUCAGCAUGAAGAGAUUAUUAUUUGCAUGGCUUUUCUUCAUUUUGAUUUGCUCUAAAGCGCUUCCAUAUUCUUCUUCUGAAGCCACUUUGACCUCAAAGCCAGCUGGUGGGUUUGGGGGAAAAGUUAUGAAAACAAAGCCGAAAGGAGUGCAUGAAGUUUUUUAUCAGAUGAAGAAAGCGGACAAGGGAGUAUAUGGUGGUGGAGAUUUGCUUCGUCCUAGGGACAACAAGGGUAGAGCAUCCAGCUCCUCUGUUCUUAAAACAUCUCCUUUGGUGCUUUGGACUUCGGCGAUUGGGUUAUUAUUCCUUUUUUGUGUUCAUAUGAAUUAAGAUUAAUGAAUCUUUUGGAUAGAAAGGUGAUAUUUCAUGUUCACAUUCACACCAGUUUACAUAUUCGAAUUUUUAUUUGGCUAGUGUUUAUAUAUGUUUAAAAACUGAACAUAAUUCAAUUCCUGAGACCAUUAUUGUUCU